ACUCAAAGGAAUUGACGGGGACCCGCACAAGCGGUGGAGUAUGUGGUUUAAUUCGAAGCAACGCGCAGAACCUUACCAACCUUUGACAUGCCAAGUAAAAAUAUCAGAGAUGAUAUUGUCACCUCGGGUGGCUUGGCACAGGUGCUGCAUGGCUGUCGUCAGCUCGUGUCGUGAGAUGUUGGGUUAAGUCCCGCAACGAGCGCAACCCCCACCAUUAGUUGCCAGCAGGUUUGGCUGGGCACUUUAAUGGAACUGCCGGUGAUAAGCCGGAGGAAGGUGGGGAUGAUGUCAAGUCCUCAUGGCCCUUAUGGGUUGGGCUACACACGUACUACAAUGGUGGUGACAACGGGGAGCUAAGGGGAAACCUGGAGCUAAUCCUAAAAAAGCCACCACAGUUCAGAUUGUCCUCUGCAACUCGAGGGCAUGAAGUUGGAAUCGCUAGUAAUCGCGGAUCAGCAUGUCGCGGUGAAUACGUUCCCGGGUCUUGUACACACCGCCCGU
rnacentral:rRNA from 1 species